rnacentral:lncRNA from 1 species
ACUGUUUUGCUGGCCUGGUGAAGGCCUUCAUUUCUCUCGUCUCCUUCCAUGAACAUUGCCAGUGGGUGGCCAGAAGACAUGGAAACUCCUGAGCAGCUGUCCAAAUGUCUCUGAGUUCUGGGAAUGAGGAAGCCUGAAUAUACGUAGGCCACGGGCAGGUGACAGCUUGUGGCCUGGAUUCUGACAGCACAGUGUCCUGGGAGGAUCCAGAGAAGCCUGUGCUGGCUGGAACUUCCAUCUCUCCACCUCUGUGCUCAGGCAGCCCGAGCCUCUGGUUUUUCCCACUGGUUUCCUUAUGGAUGACCCACUGUCAAUCUUGGUCCCUUUGUGCUGCUAUAAC